rnacentral:rRNA from 1 species
CUACGGGAGGCUCCAGUGAGGAAUAUUGCACAAUGGGGGGAACCCUGAUGCAGCAACGCCGCGUGGAGGAUGACGCAUUUCGGUGUGUAAACUCCUUUUAUAUGUCAAGAAAAUGACGGUAGCAUAUGAAUAAGCACCGGCUAACUCCGUGCCAGCAGCCGCGGUAAUACGGAGGGUGCAAGCGUUACUCGGAAUCACUGGGCGUAAAGGACGCGCAGGCGGGUUGGAAAGUCAGGUGUGAAAUCCUACAGCUUAACUGUAGAACUGCACUGGAACUUCUAAUCUAGAGUAUGGGAGGGGGAGAUGGAAUUCGUGGUGUAGGGGUAAAAUCCGUAGAUAUCACUAGGAAUACCUAAAGCGAAGGCGAUCUCCUGGAACAUUACUGACGCUAAGGCGUGAAAGCGUGGGGAGCAAACAGGAUUAGAUACCCUUGUAGUC